rnacentral:rRNA from 1 species
CCUACGGGAGGCAGCAGUAGGGAAUAUUGCUCAAUGGGGGAAACCCUGAAGCAGCAACGCCGCGUGGAGGAUGAAGGCUUUAGGAUUGUAAACCCCUUUUUUUAGAGAAGAUUAUGACGGUAUCUAACGAAUAAGCACCGGCUCACUCCGUGCCAGCAGCCGCGGUAAUACGGAGGGUGCAAGCGUUAAUCGGAAUCACUGGGCGUAAAGGGUGCGUAGGCGGGGUGAUAAGUCAGAUGUGAAAUCUUGCAGCUUAACCAGAGAAUUGCAUUUGAAACUGUCACUCUGGAGUUCGGGAGAGGUAGGUGGAAUUCUUGGUGUAGGGGUGAAAUGCGUAGAGAUCACGAGGAAUACCAAUUGCGAAGGCGGCUCGCUGGAACAUUACUGACGCUGAGGCACGAAAGCGUGGGGAGCAAACAGGAUUAGAUACCCUAGUAGUC